rnacentral:misc_RNA from 1 species
UUGAAAUAAACCUGAUACGUUGCUGCUGGCUCUCUAGGGAGUAUGUGCACACUUGUCAUCUUUAUAUCUCCACCCUGUGCACUUUUUGUAGACCUUGGGAUGAAUUGGCUGUAAUGCCUGUUCUUACAUUUUCCCUGGUCUAUGUUCUACAUAUACUCUAAAUCUAUUGUCAUUUUGUGUCUAUAAAAUGUUAUA